rnacentral:rRNA from 1 species
GAGUUUGAUCCUGGCUCAGGACGAACGCUGGCGGCGUGCCUAACACAUGCAAGUCGAACGGAGAUUUCAGCAAUGGGAUCUUAGUGGCGAACGGGUGAGUAACGCGUAGACAACCUGCCUUCUAGAUGGGGACAACACUGCGAAAGUGGUGCUAAUACCGAAUGUUGUGUUUUGAUUGCAUAAUCGAAAUACUAAAGGUGGCCUCUAUAUAUAAGCUAUCGCUAGAAGAUGGGUCUGCGUCUGAUUAGCUAGUUGGUGAGGUAAUGGCUCACCAAGGCGACGAUCAGUAGCCGGUCUGAGAGGAUGAACGGCCACACUGGGACUGAGACACGGCCCAGACUCCUACGGGAGGCAGCAGUGGGGAAUCUUCCGCAAUGGACGAAAGUCUGACGGAGCAACGCCGCGUGAGUGAAGAAGGUUUUCGGAUCGUAAAACUCUGUUUUCAGGGACGAAUGUGCCGAUUGUAAAUAAUGGUUGGUAAUGACGGUACCUGACAAGAAAGCCACGGCUAACUACGUGCCAGCAGCCGCGGUAAUACGUAUGUGGCAAGCGUUGUCCGGAAUUAUUGGGCGUAAAGCGCGCGCAGGUGGGAUAAUAAGUCUGAUGUUAAAGUUCGGGGCUCAACC